rnacentral:rRNA from 1 species
GAGUGCCUUCGGGAGCCCGAAGACAGGUGCUGCAUGGCUGCGUCAGCUCGUGUCGUGAGAUGUUGGGUUAAGUCCCGCAACGAGCGCAACCCCUAUCUCUAGUUGCCAGCGAUUCGGUCGGGGACUCUAGAGAUACUGCCCCGGUUAACGGGAGGAAGUGGGGAUGACGUCAAGUCCUCAUGGCCCUUAUGCCCAGGGCUACACACGUGCUACAAUGGGCGGUACAAAGGGUAGCGAUGCCGCGAGGCGAAGCCAAUCCCAAAAAGCCGUCCUCAGUUCGGAUUGGAGUCUGCAACUCGACUCCAUGAAGCCGGAAUCGCUAGUAAUCGCGGAUCAGCAUGCCCGCGGUUCCGAAUACGUUCCGGGCCUU